UUCCGACUAGCUGUUGAAGAAAGGAUUUUUUUUAAUAUAAUUAUUAUAUAUCCACGGGCUUUUGAAAGCCAUGUCCUUUUUUAUUUUUAAAACAUACUAUUUUUUUUAAAUUAAGGUUCUUCUACUUCGUUUGCAACAACUGAUCGGGACGCAGACGUCGUACCCGUCGACGAAGAUCCGGGCGUAGGGAAAUCACGCGCAUGCAUGUAGUCGUCUUCCAUCUUGCCGUGCGACUGACCAACUAAGUUGGAUAGUCAGCGAGCUUGUAUAAGGUAACCGUGCUAACGAACAGUUGGACAACUUUUUAAUUGUACGUCGAUCGGAAGUGAAUUUCGAUUCUGAUGUGAUUGGUAUCCAAUUAAUUAGUUGGAGAAGAUGUGCGGGCUAGCACAUGUCACUAUACCUAUUAGUAUACUCUGCGAUUUAGUCGGCCAACUUACAAUUGUAUGUGUGCGGGAGCACUUAGUGAUGCUACCGAUACAGGUUAUACAUAUAGGUACAUAUGUAGCGUUUGUUUUACCUACCAAAAUGGCGGCUGGGUAUAUUACAUUAUAUUAUAUUAUAUUACGUGCAUGGUAUAUUCGCAAUUUGCGGGAGUUAUUUAAAAAAUAUAUAGGUAUUCUAUUUUAGAUCUUAAAUAAAAUAUAUUAGUGAUUUUUUUCUGGUUGGGUUAUGAAAAUAUUAUUAUUGAAUUUAUAAUAUAAGUUAAUAAAAUAUACCUUUAAUUAGAAAUAUCCUUUUAUUUUUUACUUUUUCAGUAUUCUCUACUCGUUUGCUUUUAUUUUCGUUUAAAGAUGGUAAUGGAUAUCAUAGAAUGAUCGUUUUCUUCUUUUAAUCUAAAAUUUAACAAUACAAUUUUAUAAUAAAUAAAAUGGUAAAAUAAAUUCUUGAUAAUUGUGUUUGCUUGCAAACAAAAAACCUACUUCAAUUACAUGAACAAGUAAUAAAACAUAAUCGGUUAAAAAGAUUGUCAAAUAAAUACGCGCUAUUAAAGAUUACUCAAAAAUAAAUCAU
rnacentral:misc_RNA from 1 species